rnacentral:rRNA from 1 species
AUGGAGUUCAUCGACGACGACUGGGACUCCCAGCCGCGCGCGCGCGUCGUCCACUCCCGCGCCGAUGCCGCCGCCAAUUCCUCAUCCCCCACUGCGAAUCCCGCGUCCCGCUCUCUCCCCCACGUCGCCGCCUGCGCCGCUGCAGCCGUGCUCCUCCUCGCCGCAGCCUACUCCCUCGACUCGGCCUACCAGGUCUUCGCCUCCAUUCUCGUUUGGAUCGCAUCCUCGCUGCUCCUCGCCCCCUUCGCGCCAUCCUCCGCCACCGGCGGCGACAUCUCCGUCGGCCGCGGCAGCCUCCUCCCCGACCAGGAACCGUCCCAGGAGCCCACCCCGGACCCCAUCGCCCCCUCCCGCCGGGGUCGCCGCCAGAACGCCGCCCCGCCGCCCCCAAAGUCGUCAGAUCCGGUCGCUCCUCCCGUCCAGCCGCCUCCACGGCGGCAGGAGGCGAUGGGUGCGGGGACCGCUGUUCUGGACGGCGUGGAGAGGGAGGAGGUUGGCGAGUGGACCGACCAAGAAAUGGAGCUUCUCCGGCGGCAGAUGCUGAAGCACCCGGCAGGAGAGCCCCAACGCUGGGAGAAGAUCGCCACAGUGUUCGGCGGCCGCCGCACGCCGGAGAGCGUCAUCCGCGCAGCAAAGUCAGGCGGCGCCGCGGCGGCUGGUGGCUCGUUUGAGCAGUUCCUGCGCAAGCGAAAGCCGCUGGACCCAAGGGCCGGGGCCGCUGACGCUGACACAGGUGGCAAUGCUGGAGGAGGGGACGGUGGUUGGAGUGCUGGCGAGGACCGUUCUCUGCUGAACGCGCUCAAGGAGUUCCCUAAGGACACGGCAAUGAGGUGGGAGAAGGUGGCCGCAGCAGUGCCUGGGAAGACAAAGGCCGGGUGCAUGAAGAGGGUCACCGAACUCAAGCGUGACUUUCGGAGCAGCAAGGAGCCAUAG